GGACAAAUAGCUCAGGGUAGAGCAACCGGCUGCAGUCCGGUAGGUCACAUAUCUACCAUUAAAUCAUGUUUCGUCCU